rnacentral:rRNA from 1 species
GACAGAGGGUGCAAACGUUGUUCGGAAUUACUGGGCGUAAAGCGCGUGUAGGCUGCUCGGAAAGUCGGAUGUGAAAGCCCUGGGCUCAACCUAGGAAGUGCAUUCGAAACUACCGAGCUGGAGUUCUGGAGAGGAAGGCGGAAUUCUCGGUGUAGAGGUGAAAUUCGUAGAUAUCGAGAGGAACACCGGUGGCGAAGGCGGCCUUCUGGACAGUGACUGACGCUGAGACGCGAAAGCGUGGGGAGCAAACAGG